rnacentral:lncRNA from 1 species
GGGAGGCUAGGGAUAGCAAGCUUGUAAUUAGUAAUAGGCUCUUUUCACCAAGGAAUUGGGCUAAGGGUAAUUAAGAAAGUUUGCAUGGCAAUUAGAUAAAUAAGUGAAUUAAAUAAGAAGAGUGGAUAAGAUGAAAUUGUAAACCCCAACAACACCAUUCAUCCAUAGUUCUCAAAACUAAUUGAAUCAAUUCCAUUGCAUGUUUAUUUUUGUUCUUUGCAUACAACCACCAAAUUUAUUCUUUUCUCAAGUGUUACGCUAUUAGGUUACAUAAAGUUAAGGCCUAAGAGUCUUUUGGGAAAACGAUACUCGGACUUACCCAUUUAUAUUACUUGAUAACGAUUUGGUACACUUCCCAGGGACUUAACAAGUUUUUGGCGCCGUUGUUGGGGACUCGUGGUUUAACUUAUCUAGAAGUGUAACUUGACUAAGUUUGAAUUGAUUAUAUAUCUUUUUUUAUUAUUUUUUUUAUCUUUUUAUUUUUUUUUAUAAAAUAUAAAAAAGU